rnacentral:rRNA from 1 species
GACGAACGCUGGCGGCGUGCCUAACACAUGCAAGUGAAGCGACGAACCGGGCUUCGGCCCGGGGCAAAGCCGCGAACGGGUGAGUAACACGUGGGUAACCUGCCCUGAUGAUUGGGACAACCCGAGGAAACUCGGGCUAAUACCGAAUGUGCGAUCUGGCCGUAAGGCCUCUGGCGAAAGGAAGCUACGGCCACCGCAUGGGUAUGGGCCCGCGGCCUAUCAGCUUGUGGGUGAGGUAACGGCUCACCAAGGCGACGGCGGGUAGCCGGCCUGAGAGGGCGACCGGCCACACUGGGACUGAGACACGGCACAGACCCCUACGGGAGGGAGCAGUGGGGAAUAUUGCGCAAUGGGCGAAAGCCUGACGCAGCAACGCCGCGUGAGGGAUGACGGCAUUCGGGUUGUAAACCUCUUUCAGCAGGGAAGAAGCGAAAGUGACGGUACCUGCAGAAGAAGCACCGGCUAACUACGUGCCAGCAGCCGCCGUAAGAC